UACGAAGGGGGCUAGCGUUGCUCGGAAUCACUGGGCGUAAAGCGCACGUAGGCGGAUCUUUAAGUCAGGGGUGAAAUCCUGGAGCUCAACUCCAGAACUGCCUUUGAUACUGGGGAUCUCGAGUUCGGGAGAGGUGAGUGGAACUGCGAGUGUAGAGGUGAAAUUCGUAGAUAUUCGCAAGAACACCAGUGGCGAAGGCGGCUCACUGGCCCGAUACUGACGCUGAGGUGCGAAAGCGUGGGGAGCAAACAGG
rnacentral:rRNA from 1 species